GUUGCGCUGCCGGCCACGUCCCCGCGCCGGGCCUCAGGCUCCUUCCUACUGUCCGAGGGCCACCAGGCCGCCGGGGGCCUGCUGCGCCCGGAUGCGUCUGUUACUAGAGUGGAGAGUCUACCUUCGUCUCACAUGUGCCACAAAGGAUGGCAUGGCCCGGGAGUGCCCCACCACGUGGCUUUCACCCCCUGCAAAGCCAGACUUCGCCCAGCGACACAGUGUCAAGCCCACAGCUCUCCAAGGAGGAAGAUGGUCCAGGCUGGGAGCAUCCCCUUAGCAGCAGCCUCUGGUAAGUGUCCUGGCCCUGCAGGCUGGGCCUGCUUGUUGGGUGAUGGGACGGUGAGCCCAGAGGGAGCUUUGCAAGAUCAUCAGAGGGUCAAGGGAAAAGGAAAGACAGCCAGGCCUUAUAGUAACCAAGGAAGGCCCAGGCCCAGUCUGUGGCCCUUAACUGUCAGAGGCCCUGCCUCCAUUUUUUUUUGUUUGUUUGUUUGAGACAAUGUCUGGUUCUGUGGUCCAGGCUGGAGUGCAGAGGUGCAAUCUUGGCUUACUGCAACCUCUGCCUCCCAGGUUCAAGCCAUCCUCCCACCUCAGCCUCUCAAGUAG
rnacentral:lncRNA from 1 species